AGUUAAAACUGUUAACCUAACCUUAAAGAGACAAAAGAGAGAAAACAUUCUGCCAAGGGCCAAAUUAUUAUCAGGUAGGAGUGCAGGUGUGCCUGCAAUCCAACUCCUCCCUAGUAGUAAAUAUUCCGUUCACCGCAUUGAAGAGCCAAACAGCUAAUGGUGUAGAUUACAGAGAUCACACGUGGUAUAUGACAAAUGACAUAAAAAACAAAGCAUGGUCCACCCUAGUGGCUGAUGAAGUAAACAGGUGGACACCUAGAUAUGGCACUACUCCAUCUGCUCGACAUCAUCAAAAGGUUCUGAGAAUGCGAAAGAUUGAAACUGGGAUAUUAUUGAAAGUAAAUUUAAUCGCUGAAUCUCUAAUACCCCCCAUCUAUCUAUCUAGCAUUGAACAACCAAAAGGUAGUCGUACCACAUGUUGGGGUUUUUAUUUGUGGGCGCGUAGCUUUGGGUAUGAUCCAAAAUUCCCAAUAACACUCUGUGAGACUAAUCAUAUUAGUGCAACAGCGUCAUCAGUUUCUCCAGGGGCUGCUGCAAAAGGAGUGAUGCUUGUGGGUUAAAAUGCUAAAUCUGAUGAUUGGUGCAAAAUAGCAACAGGAAUUUCAGGUACUAGUAACAAUUGGUUGGUAGUGGUAGAGCAGGCAGCAAAUACAACCAAAAGAGAUUGUGUAAUAUGCAUGGGCCCAAGAACACUACUGAACGUAGUUCCAGCCUCAAUUCCUAAACUGUGCGUAACAAAUGUCAUGAACAGAACUAACCCAAAUGAUGCCUGUAAAGAAUGCGACACAAUAUUUCCUCUUACUACAGUGAACCAAAAGAAACCAUUGUUUUCUAAAAAAGUAGCACAUGGAAAUUUCACCUGUAUAAGCAUGACAGGAAAAGGCCAGACACUAGGAAAUCUAUCUAAAACAUGGUGUUUAACCAUUAUAACAGUAAGUCCUUAUUUUAACCCCCUAGCAAGAAGCGACAUCUGGUGGUGGUGUGGAGAUGACAGUUUUGUUUGAUAAAUUACCAAGAAAUGCUAUCGGGUAUUGUGCUUUAGUUACUUUGUUACUGCCUGUGUCUGUGGUCCCCAUGAAAGUCGAAGAUCUAAUCUCUCAGUUAUCUAGUGUGGUUCCUGAAACAUGGAAAAGAAAUAAAAGAUCAAUAUGGCAAGGUGAAGCAAAUCCAACUUAUAUAGACGCCAUCGGCAUCCCUCGUGGGGUCCAUAAUAAGUAUAAAUUAGCAAAUCAAAUAGCUGCAGGUUUUGAAUCGAUUAUCUGCUGGUGGUGCACGAGCAAUAAAAAUGUAGACAGGAUCAAUUACAUCCACUACAACAUCCAGAGAUUAGGUAAUUGGACAAAAGCGGUUUUGAAGCAGUACACGAUCAGUUAGCUGCAACUUCUCUGCUGGCUUUCCAGAACAGAAUAGCUCUCGACAUGCUGCUGGCAGAAAAAGGAGGUGUUUGUGCUAUUUUUGGAGAACAGUGCUGCACAUUCAUUCCUAACAACACCGCUGCUGAUGGUAGCCUGACCAAGGCUAUAGAGGGUCUGCGCACUCUCAAUAAGAAGAUGAAAGAGCAUUCUGGGAUAGACACUACCAUGUGGGAUCACUAGUUGGACGUGUUUGGGAAGUAUAAAACACUGGUCGCAUCAAUUGUAGUUUCCAUUGCAGUGUUUACUGCUAUUCUGGUAUUGUGUGGAUGUUGUUUUAUUCCCUGUCUGCGUUCUUUGUUGAAUUGUCUCAUUACUACAGCAAUUUCACCCAUGGAGGACAAAAUGGCACAGAUGUAUCCCCUAUUAGCCCACGAUGACAAUGAUGAAAACAACAGUGAGGAGCCAGAAAGCCUGCAGAAAGCAGAGAAAUGUGUUGUGACGAUAAGUGUUUUUCUAAAUAUGUCUGAAACUGUGAUGAACUGUAUUUGGAGUGCUUAUGUAUAAAUGUACUGUGUGGACUGCUUAGUAUUAUCUCUGUGUUCCUAAGGUCACAGAGUGUUUUGCUUAUCCCUACCCCUUAGCUUGACAAUGUAACCAGGGUUUCCCUAAUAAAAGCAAGGAGGGGACAGAGUGUCUUCAGAGCGAGUUUGGAGAUCUGUAUUAAGCGUCUAAGCUCCUCUCCUUGCAAGAUUUAUGAAAACUAA